GUUCUAAGGGCGUUGAAGCAUGAUCGUAAGGACAUGUGGAGCGCUUAGAAGUGAGAAUGCCGGUGUGAGUAGCGAAAGACGGGUGAGAAUCCCGUCCACCGAUUGACUAAGGUUUCCAGAGGAAGGCUCGUCCGCUCUGGGUUAGUCGGGUCCUAAGCUGAGGCCGACAGGCGUAGGCGAUGGAUAACAGGUUGAUAUUCCUGUACCACCUAUAAUCGUUUUAAUCGAUGGGGGGACGCAGUAGGAUAGGCGAAGCGUGCGAUUGGAUUGCACGUCUAAGCAGUAAGGCUGAGUAUUAGGCAAAUCCGGUACUCGUUAAGGC
rnacentral:rRNA from 1 species